GGCGCGGGGCUGGGGUGGAGGCGGCGGCGGCGGCGGGGGUCGCGUGGCGGCGGCGCGUGGGAGAGCUCGGGUGCGGCCGGAGAGGGCGGGCGCACCGGGACCGACGGGCGCGAGACCCGGCGCGAGGGCGGCGGUGGGGGAGGGGCGGCGGCUCCACGCGCCCGCGCUGCGUCAGUCGCCCACGGUGGCAGCGGCGGCGGCGGCGGCGGCGGCGGCAGCCCCGCGAUGGCUAAGGAAUGCGGCGGCUCCGCAUAACCACGGGGUCAGAGGUCACGGCUCGGGCCUCCGCUUUCCCGCGCUGCUGAGAAACCGAGACCGGACUAGUGGCGGGCCGGGAUGGCGAGACGCAGCUUUCCCUUCGACGCUCUGAUCCGUGCGUGUCUGCCGUGGGGGUGUGUGUGUGUGUGUGUAUGUGUGUCCGCGUGUGUGUGAGAGAGAAGAGUGAGGAGGGGGAGUGUGGGGUUUUUUUUUUUUUUUUUUGAACAAAAACAAACCGAAAGGGUAGCUGGGAUUUGUAGUCCUUACUAGCUCCACGGCCUCCCCCACUCCGGAAGAAAAUGGCUGCCUGAAGUGCUUGGACCACAUUUCCCGUCGUGCUCCGGUACCGUGUUUUCCGCCCACUCUCUUCCGUACCCCGCUGUGCUCCGAGCUCGGUUCUUAUUAAAUCACAAAGGCCUCAACCUCCCCGGAAUAGCUGAGAUUACAGGCCUGUGCUACCAGAUCUAACUAAAAUGUUCAUGUAGAGUAUGGGUGCUGUGGAAAGCAGUUCCUACUCAAAAGUAUCCAAUCUUUCAUCCAUGUACACCACCGCACUCAGAACUUACCCCAUUCAAUGGGAAAAAGAGCUUUGCAGAUCAAGUUUAGGCCCUUAGGAAGAUCAUCCUGGACUGUCUGAGUGGGUCACUAAUUCCAUGGGUCCUUGAAAGCGUGGGUGUCUUGGAGAUAGGAAGCAACACAGCUCACUGGUGCUGGCUUUGAAGUGACAGAAAGCAAAGGAAUGGAAGCAGCCUCUGGACUAAAGCCUGCCAACAGCAGCAAGGAAUUAGGGACCGUAGUCCUUCAAUCCAUUGAGCUGAACUGACAGUGUGGAUGAGCUCAGAAACGAGUCUUCAGAAAGGAAAACAGGCACCUUGACUUCCGCCUCAGAUUGAAGCAGGAAACCCCUGGAACUUCUGGAACCCCCUCAGUGUUUGGACUCUGGCCCAGAGAAGUAUGGGACAUUUACAAGUGUGUGUUUCAAACUACUAUGUCUGUGCUAAUUUCUUACAGCCAGCAAAGGCUAAUGCGGGCAGUGUGGCAGCCCCUUUAGUUUAUCUCGGCAAGCACUGCCUAGUUCUUGCAAAUGGGCCAGGCUGUAGAAAAAUCCACAUGUAAGUAUUUCAAGAUCUCUACCCUUGCAGAAUCAAACUGAUAGUGCCAUCAUUAAGCAUGAAGAGACGUAGUAUGUCCAGGGGACUGUUGGAAAUGGGUGAGGUAGCUCAUGUCUAAUUGAAUCACUUGGGAGAUGAAAGCAGGGGGAUUUUGAGUUCAAAGCCAGUCUGGGCUAUAAUGAGUUUGAAGCCAAUUUAGGAUAUACAAUGAGACUCACUCUUUAAAAAAAAAAAAAGGGAAGUGUUGGAAAGUUAACUUUUGGUUAUUAAUUCUUAAGCUUUUUUUGUUUUGUUUUUUCAGUUAACAAGAGUCAACGUGUCUUCUUGCCAGAAGCAGCAAACACAUACAUGUUCUUUUUUAGUGUAUUUUUAUGUUGUUUUUAAUCACAGUGCUUUUAUUACAGGUUACCUUGGAAAGUUAACACAGGUGCAAUGGGCUGAGUAAAAUAAACAGAACUGCUAUUUAACCCUGCCCAGUUUGGGGAUGAGUCAUUGUUUUUCAUUUAUGGACAAAGCACACAAAUAAUACAAGCAACAAACACCAGAGAUACACAAAAGGACAUAACAUCCCUGAGCCUCAGUGUGAUAUAUUAACACUAGUUCUGGGGCUGGAGAGAUAGCUCAGUGGUUAAGAGCACAAAGUGCUCUUAUAGAGGACCUGGGUUCAAUUCCUAGCACCCACAUGGUAGUUCACAACUGUCUAUCUCACACAUGCAAUGUACAGAUAUAUAUAUAUAUAUAUAUUUACACACACACAUAUAUAUAUACACACAUGUGUAUAUAUAUACAUAUAUGUAUGUAUGUAUAUAUGUGUAUAUGCUAGCAGAACACCCAUACACAAAGUUUUUGUUUGUUUGUUUGUUUGUUUUGGUUUUUUGAGACAGGGUUUCUCUGUGUAGCUUUGCGCCUUUCCUCGGACUCACUUGGUAGCCCAGGCUGGCCUCGAACUCACAGAGAUCCGCCUGGCUCUGCCUCCCGAGUGCUGGGAUUAAAGGCGUGCGCCACCACUGCCCGGCCACAUAAAGUUUUUUUUAAAAACUGAAAAAACACAUUGGUUCUGGACUCCAGUGGGGCCUGGGUUUGAAACUGCAUCUUGUGUGCCCUUGGACAAGUUAUGAAACCUCAUCAACCCAGCAUUUGUCAUUGGACAACAGGGUGCAGGACAAAAUCAAAGGGUGAUCUGGACAGAGUGGCACAUGCCUACUUAAAGAGGCUGAGACAGGGGGAUCACUUGAACCCAAAAGGUUGAGACCAACCUGGAUAACACAGGGAGACCCCAUCUCAAAAGAAUAAAUGAGAUCCCAGUUGUUCAGCAGCAGCAUUGCUGAUGAUCAGCUAAUGUGGAGCCUUCCCUCCCUUCACACAUUGCAUUUCCCUUUUGUUUGGUAACUACUCAUGCUGGUGUCUGCUUGGAUUUGUUUCCUGUACCCUCAAUGCCAGCCAUGGUCUUUGGCAUGUGGUAGGCAGCUAAACUGUUGGUGUAUGAGCCAAUCUGUGAUUGUUUUGUUGUAAAAAGUCUCUGAGGAAUGAUCCACUAUUGAAUGCUCUCAGAACAGCUUUUGGAACCUGCUUAUAUUGGGGUGGGGUGAGGGAAGUAAGAAGGUUUUUCCCAAACAGGUCUCUACAAGUGGUAAGUAGAGACUUCAUGGCAUCCCCAUUCUCAUUGAGUUGCCAAAUGUGCCCACAUGAUGGAUGACUUAACUCAUAACUGCCAUUCACCAUCAUUUAAAUUCUACUGUUCAGUCUCCCAAGAUUCUAGAAUAGGUAAUUAAAUUACCAAAAUGUUUACAGUAGUAAUCUCUAGAUUUUAUAAGAGUGGGAAGUUUACCAUUACUUUUUCUCCACAAAACAUUAAUUUAAAUUUUUUUUGGUUUUUUGUUUUUAUUUUUUUUUUGGGGGGGGGGGUUUCGAGACAGGAUUUCUCUGUGUAGUUUUGGUGCCUGCCCUGGAUCUCGCUCUGUAGAGCAGGCUGGCCUGGAACUCAGAGAUCUGCCUGCCUCUGCCUCCUGAGUGCUGGGAUUAAAGGCGUGUGCCACCAUGCCUAAUAUUUUGCUUUUUGAAGGUAGGACCCCACUCGGUAGCCCAGGCUGGCCUCAGCAGUGGCCUGCUUUAGCCUCCAACUUCUGGGAUUCCAGGUAUGAUCACUGUGGCUCUUAGGACUAGAUAAACAUCAUCACAGCUCUGCCUCGUCCUGUGGGAUUGCACAUUCAGGGAAGCCAGCCACCAUGUCACAAGAGCACUCAAACAGCCUUAGAGCUACAGACAAUUACCCAGGACAGUUUUCUUUUUUUAUUUAAUUUUAUGUCCUCUGGUGUUUUGCCAUGGGUGUCUUAUGUGCACUGGUAUUUUGCCAUGGGUGUCUGGUCCCCUGGAACUGAAGUUACAGACAGUUGUGAGCUGCCAUGUGGGUGCUGGGAAUUGAACCCAGGUCAUCUAGAAGAGUAGUCAGUGCUCUUAACAGCUGAGCCAUCUCUCCAGCCCCCUCCCCCUCAGGACAGUUUUCAAAUGACUUCAGUCUUGGCCAGCCAUUCAAUGCUAACUACAAACCCGUGAGGCCCAGAGCAGAAUCACCCAAAUAAGAUGGAUCUCAAGCCCACGGAAUCAAGAGAUAAUGAAUUAACGUCAUGUGGGAGAGAAUGGAUUGCUUUCAAUGUCAUUUAAGUAUUGAAGUAAUUUGUUACAUAUCAGCUGAUAGCUAAUAAUGAAAGUGCCUCCCUUCUGGGUGGUUGUUGCUGUGACUGCCCUCUUGACAAAAAUACUUACACAAAAUUCUGUAACAGAGUCCAGGGUGUUCCCAGCCCCCGCCCCCCCACCCCGGAGCUCUGGUGGAUAACAGCAGUAGCCACAGCCGUGGUGCUGUGUUUUAUCUUAGAAUUCGGGGAAGGAAAAGCAAUGUCCAGGUCUAGGAAUAUCUCAUGGAGGCAGAGCAUUUACUUGCAUUUGCCUGUACAAGGCCCUGGCUUUGAUCCUUAGUGCUGCAACAAUAAAUAUCCCACUUGACUCUCUUCCUAGAUUCAAUCCUGAGCCAGGACUAACCCAGUUUGUCCACCUUCCUGCUCUGCUUCCAUGGAGCUGUAAGGUCUAAACCACUGCCCUCAGCUGAGUAAUCUGUACCUGUUCCUUCCUCCUCUCUGCCACUUUGAUAUUCCUUGUUGUUGAAACAGGAUCUCACUGUGCAGCCCUGACUGCCCUGGAACUUGCUCUAAAGACCAGGUAGUCCUGAACUCAAUGAAAUCUGCCUGCUUCCAGAGUGCUGUGAUUAAAGGUGUGCACUGCCAUGCCCUGCCACUCUAAUCAUAUAGUCUACAUUUCUCUGGCCCCAUUUUGAUUGUAAUCCUUCUGAUGGACUCACACAGACAAGAAAAUAAAGUUGUUAUCCUUGAGAUAACGGGAUCUCUAAUGGGAUCUUAAUAGAUGGAAACUGUAAGUCUGCACAUGCUGGCACAUGUAUAAUCCUAGCACUUCGGUGGCUGAGGUAGGAAGAUUACCAUGAGUUUGAGACCAUCCUUAGCUACAAAGUAAAACUAUCACACAAAACCAGCUGUGGUAGCACGGACCUAUAAGCCCAGCACUUGGGACAUGGAGGCGGGGUAAAUUCAGGGUCAUUCUUGGGUACGUGCUACAAGAAACCCU